rnacentral:rRNA from 1 species
UAGUCCACGCCGUAAACGAUGAAUACUAGGUGUCGGGUUUUAACUCGGUGCCGCAGCAAACGCAUUAAGUAUUCCACCUGGGGAGUACGAUCGCAAGGUUGAAACUCAAAGGAAUUGACGGGGGCCCGCACAAGCAGUGGAGCAUGUGGUUUAAUUCGAUGCAACGCGAAGAACCUUACCUAGGCUUAAAAUGUAGUGGACCAGCUGUGAAAGCAGCUUUCUCUUCGGAGUCGCUAUACAGGUGCUGCAUGGCUGUCGUCAGCUCGUGCCGUGAGGUGUUGGGUUAAGUCCCGCAACGAGCGCAACCCUUAUCGUUAGUUGCCAGCACAUAAUGGUGGGAACACUAACGAGACUGCCCGGGUUAACCGGAGGAAGGCGGGGAUGACGUCAAGUCCUCAUGGGCCCUUAUACCCCAGGGGCUACACACGUGCUACAAUGGGUAUGUACAGAGGGGUAGCAAACCAGUGAUGGGUAAGCCAAUCCCUAAAGCAUAUCUCAGUCCGGGAUUGGGA